rnacentral:rRNA from 1 species
AACGCGAAGAACCUUACCUGGAUUUGACAUCCUUUGACAAUCCUAGAGAUAGGACUUCUGUAGCAAUACAGCAAAGUGACAGGUGCUGCAUGGCUGUCGUCAGCUCGUGUGGUGACAUGUUGGGUUAAGUCCCGCAACGAGCGCAACCCUUGUCUUUAGUUGCCAGCAUUAAGUUGGGCUCUCUAAAGAGACUGCCGUGGUUAACACGGAGGAAGGUGGGGAUGACGUCAAGUCCUCAUGGCCUUUAUAUCCAGGGCGACACACGUGAUACAAUGGACGGUACAGAGGGAAGCCAAGAAGCGAUUCGGAGCUAAUCUCAAAAAGCCGUUCUCAGUUCGGAUUGGAGUCUGCAACUCGACUCCAUGAAGUUGGAAUCGCUAGUAAUCGCGGAUCAGCACGCCGCGGUGAAUACGUUCCCGGGCCUUGUACACACCGCACUACUA